GCCUGGGUGGCUCAGUCGGUUAAGCUCCAGACUUCAGCUCAGGUCAUGAUCUCACAGUUUGUGGGUUCGAGCCCCACACUGGGCU
rfam:Felis catus isolate Cinnamon breed Abyssinian chromosome A1, whole genome shotgun sequence.